rnacentral:rRNA from 1 species
GAAUCCCGUCUUUGGCACGGAUGUACCGGGGCUUUUGUGAUGCGCUCUCGAAGAGUCGAGUUGUUUGGGAAUGCAGCUCAAAAUGGGUGGUGAACUCCAUCUAAAGCUAAAUAUUGGCGAGAGACCGAUAGCGAACAAGUACCGUGAGGGAAAGAUGAAAAGCACUUUGGAAAGAGAGUUAAACAGUACGUGAAAUUGCUGAAAGGGAAACGCUUGAAGUCAGUCACGUCUGCCAGGACUCAGCCUUGCUUCUGCUUGGUGUACUUUCUGGUUUGAUGGGCCAACAUCAAUUUUGACCGUUGGAGAAAGGCCUUGGGAAUGUGGCACCUUCGGGUGUGUUAUAGCCCUUUGCUGUAUACGACGGUUGGGAUUGAGGACCGCAGCAUGCCUUCAUGGCCGGGGUUCGCCCACGUACGUGCUUAGGAUGUUGGCAUAAUGGCUUUAAGCGACCCGUCUUGAAACACGGACCAAGGAGUCUAACAUGCCUGCGAGUGUUUGGGUGGAAAACCCAUGCGCGUAAUGAAAGUGACAGCUGAGAUCCUCUCAUCAGGAGCAUCAGCGCCUGGACUUGAUCUACGGAGACGGUUCUACGGUAGAGCAUGUAUGUUGGGACCCGAAAGAUGGUGAACUAUGCCUGAAUAGGGUGAAGCCAGAGGAAACUCUGGUGGAGGCUCGUAGCGAUUCUGACGUGCAAAUCGAUCGUCAAAUUUGGGUAUAGGGGCGAAAGACUAAUCGAACCAUCUAGUAGCUGGUUCCUGCC